rnacentral:rRNA from 1 species
GACGAACCGAGCGAACGUUGUUCGGAAUCACUGGGCUUAAAGGGCGCGUAGGCGGGCUGCCGCGUCCGGGGUGAAAUCCCACGGCUCAACCGUGGAACGGCCCCGGGUACGGGCGGCCUCGAGGGGGGUAGGGGCGUGCGGAACUGUGGGUGGAGCGGUGAAAUGCGUUGAUAUCCACAGGAACUCCGGUGGCGAAGGCGGCACGCUGGACCCCUUCUGACGCUGAGGCGCGAAAGCCAGGGGAGCAAACAGG